rnacentral:rRNA from 1 species
GUGGGGAAUCUUCCGCAAUGGACGAAAGUCUGACGGAGCAACGCCGCGUGAGUGAUGAAGGUCUUCGGAUUGUAAAGCUCUGUUAAUCGGGACGAAAGAGCCUAGUGUGAAUAAUGCUAGGAAGUGACGGUACCGGAAUGGAAAGCCACGGCUAACUACGUGCCAGCAGCCGCGGUAAUACGUAGGUGGCAAGCGUUGUCCGGAAUUAUUGGGCGUAAAGCGCGCGCAGGCGGAUCUGCCAGUCUGUCUUAAAAGUUCGGGGCUUAACCCCGUGAUGGGAUGGAAACUACAGAUCUAGAGGAGCGGAGAGGAAAGUGGAAUUCCUAGUGUAGCGGUGAAAUGCGUAGAUAUUAGGAAGAACACCAGUGGCGAAGGCGACUUUCUGGACGAAAACUGACGCUGAGGCGCGAAAGCCAGGGGAGCGAACGGGAUUAGAUACCCGUGUAGUCC